UAUCAAUGUUUGUUUUCGCGUUGUCUUUUGCUCUUCCCUCUCCGUUGACGUUCCUGCUGAACUAAAAGGCUGUCGAUCGUCCCAUAACCCGCGUGUGUGUUGAUCGUAGCUAAGUAAAGUAAACGACACACCAUACAUGGAAGAGAACACAGGCAAAGAGCAAAACGUGGAUCACAUCCUCUGCUCAGUUUGUUAGGUUUUAAAUAAAGAUUUAAUUGUGAUUUAUGAUUACCAAAGUCAAAGAUUGUGCGUUCGCUUACUGCUACGUUUACUUCUUCCAGGUUGCUUGCAGGUGUGAUGGUUAAAUCGACUAAUGAGACCGAACAGGGGAGAGCGUAACUAAUACUAGAACAUGCAAAAGGAGAGAAAAGGAUACACUGAUUGCCAAAUUUAGAAUAGAGAGCGCUUGUGCAUCGUGGUAAGAGAAUUACUGUCACGGGUGAGAGCAGGCAUGGAAAAAAUAGUAUGUGCAAAAUACGCACACUUAUGCAGAAUCAUGUGGAUAGCUAAAGACGUCACGAUAGCAAAUGGCGAAAAUAAUCUUCAAUCGAAAAAUAGCAAUAUUAUGAAGAAAAAAUUCAUUUCCACGACGUACCGACGUCACAGCAUCACAUUCAUCUGAUUGUAUAAAAUCAUUCCGAUGGGGAAUGAGGUUGCUGUCAGUGCCAAAUAGAACAAUCGAUACAAUCGAGUGCCAACAGCCAAAAACGUGGUGCAUCUGAACACCUUGCCCCAAACAUUAGGUUAGAGAGAAUUGAAAAACUGUGCGAAAAGCGUGUCCCUCCCGAGAGAUAAUUUUCCGCACCUUUUCUUCAACUCGGUGAUAAAAAAAGCGCGUUAAAAACCGUUUUUUAAUGGAAUCUGUAUUGAAUUAUGUGCGAUCAACGCCACAGAUUGCCCGAUUGCACCGAUUGAAUUCUUUAUGGAGAAUAAAUAACUCAACGCAACGUCGUUCAGCGUCCCCUCGAUGGAGAGAAUCACGCUGCGAUCGGUUUUCUUUCCACUAAACUAAAUAUUGAUUCCCUAGACACGAUUCUGUCAAUCGGACGAUGAGUACGCCGGAAUGGAAAAUAGGUUUUGUUUAGGUAGUAGACGAUAAGGCAAGAAAACAAAACAAAACAAAAACACCCAUCCUAUCGGCCACAUCCGCCAAACAGCUGUGACCGCUACAAAGGAUGGUCACUUUGUUUCAUACUUUAAGGCACUUUGGGAAAAAAUAAGCAAAAUCAUAAAUAAAAUAAUAGAAACACUUGCCUUUAGUCCGAUGCUUCACAAAAAGGGCUCUUCGCUUCUACCCACACUUCCCAACCAUCAUUCGUGUGACGUGUAUUGAAAUUAAUGAUCGUUGUCAAAACAUAGAAUGAAAUUUCAAGAUCAUUUCAGCCUUCCCCGAGUGGCAGCACGGAUGUGAUAGCGAUGCUUGAAACCAGAUGCUGAUAAGUGGAACAGAAUCAUCAACGUCAUCGUCAUCAUUAUAAUACACCGUAACCGUGCCAGGCCGUCUUAUGCCGGGAAGGGUGGAACAUGAUUUGCACGAGAUUUGGAGCAUUGAUUGGUGUUAAACUUUUGCUAACAUGUUCCCUUAUCGACCGUUUGGAUCGUUCGUUUGAUUUUGAUUCGUUACGGUGAAAAAUGAUGCUGGAAAAGUGGUGCAAUUACUGAAAACAUUCUAGUUGUAAAAAUUUAUCGCACAUGUGUUUUUUUUUAGUACACGAUCGGAUGUACGUUAUAAUUGAUAAAAAAUCACUCUUUUUCAAUCGUUAUAA